UACGGAGGGUGCAAGCGUUAUCCGGAUUCACUGGGUUUAAAGGGUGCGUAGGUGGGCAGGUAAGUCAGUGGUGAAAUCUCUGGGCUUAACCCGGAAACUGCCGUUGAUACUAUCUGUCUUGAAUAUAGUGGAGGUGAGCGGAAUAUGUCAUGUAGCGGUGAAAUGCUUAGAUAUGGCAUAGAACAUCGAUUGCGAAGGCAGCUCGCUACACUAUGAUUGACACUGAGGCACGAAAGCGUGGGGAUCAAACAGG
rnacentral:rRNA from 1 species